rnacentral:rRNA from 1 species
UCCUGGCUCAGAUUGAACGCUGGCGGCAUGCCUUACACAUGCAAGUCGAACGGCAGCGGGCCUUCGGGUGCCGGCGAGUGGCGAACGGGUGAGUAAUAUAUCGGAACGUACCUUUCAGUGGGGGAUAACGUAGCGAAAGUUACGCUAAUACCGCAUAUUCUGUGAGCAGGAAAGCAGGGGAUCGCAAGACCUUGCGCUGAUUGAGCGGCCGAUAUCAGAUUAGCUAGUUGGUGAGGUAAAGGCUCACCAAGGCGACGAUCUGUAGCGGGUCUGAGAGGAUGAUCCGCCACACUGGAACUGAGACACGGUCCAGACUCCUACGGGAGGCAGCAGUGGGGAAUUUUGGACAAUGGGCGCAAGCCUGAUCCAGCCAUGCCGCGUGAGUGAAGAAGGCCUUCGGGUUGUAAAGCUCUUUCGGCCGGGAAGAAAUCGCACAGGUUAAUACCCUGUGUGGAUGACGGUACCGGAAUAAGAAGCACCGGCUAACUACGUG